rnacentral:rRNA from 1 species
CACAGAGUUAGCCGGUGCUUCCUUUGAGGGUACCGUCACUGCUCGCGAUUGUUUACCGCGAACGCUUUCGUCCCCCCUGACAGCGGUUUACACCCCGAAGGGCUUCCUCCCGCACGCGGCGUCGCUGGGUCAGCCUUUCGGCCAUUGCCCAAAAACUCCCCACUGCUGCCUCCCGUAGGAGUCUGGACCGUGUCUCAGUUCCAAUGUGCGGGGUCGUCCUCUCAGACCCCGUAGCCGUCGCCGCCUUGGUGAGCCGUUACCUCACCAACUAGCUGAUAGCCCGCGAGCUCCUCCCUGCGCCGUAGCAUUGUAAAGAGGCCACGUUUCCUAAAAGACCCAGCAGGAUCUCUUAACCAUGCGGUAUUAGCCCAAAGUUUCCCUGGGUUAACUCCCCCGGCACCGAGGGGUAGAUUGCUCACGUGUUACUCACCCGUCCGCCACUCGACUCGUGUCCCGAAGGACCCCGGCUCGUUCGACUUGCAUGUGUUAGGCACGCCGCCAGCGUCGUCCUGUACGCCAGGAUCGAAACUCUA